CUCCCCUUUCCCCGCGCCAAGAAGUGGGGAGGCUGAUAAGCAGCCCUCUGGAGGCUCGCCCGUCCAGAUCCCGUCCCCGCGCCCCGCGAGGUGCUGGACGAGGGAUGUUUCCCGCAGCGGCGGCCGCGGCGCUGUGCUGCAAGCCUCGGCCAGGCGCAUCGCCGGCCGCGUUGGCUUGAAGGCGGGAUCUGGUGGCCUUUGGCGUUCAGCCCCUCGAAGAGGUGGCGGCGGCGGCACAGCCAGGAUAAGGCUGCAGAGCGUCCCAGCUGGCUUCGGUCGCUGCGGCCAAACGGGGCUGGAGAUCCGCUUUCACGAAGCGGCCGGGAUGCCUGCCAGCCUGCCAACAGCCUGGCCCAAGGUGGAGAAAAGCACAAUGAACAUGUAAGACAAUGGAAGAUUUCUUUGACGCUCCUUUGCCAGCUUGCUGACCAAGUGGAGAUUGAUGAGGAAUCUCUUUCUAAAAUAUUCUGAAAAUGUACAGUAUUGCUAUUCAUUUAUUCCACUGAAAUGAUUUCAGAAUUACCUUUUGGAAUGACUGUAUUUGAUGCUCACUGUCCAUCCAAACAAUAGUAAUAAAAAGGACCACAUUCCCAAGCCCUGCAUAUUGAAGAAAGAACACACAGGAUGCCCUCCAUCACAAGAGCUUCAGGUAGCACAACCCUAACCAAAGCUAACUGGUCAUCCCAGCAGCAUUGUCAACUGGUUGACAAAUAUUAAGUGAUCGGAGUGCAUUGAAGUGCAUGUAUGUCAGCAGUCCCCAACCUGGGGUCCUGCAGGUGCUUUGGGCUACAACUCCCAUGAGAAAUGCUGAUGGGGGUGAAGGAAGUCGUAGUCCAAAACCUCUGGAGGUCAAUGGGUUGAAGGAGGCUGCUUUAUGUAACGCAACAUCUUCAACAGGUCCAGCUUUUCCCACUGCAUUAGCGGUGAAAACUUCCCUGUACGCAGAAUUCUCUUUUCUUUUGCAGCUUUGUACCUGUUUCAGAGGGGGGAAUAUUUAAUGUCUGAGCCUUUCGAUUACUCAAAGAGGACUCACAAGCGAUGAGCUGAUAGAUUAAACAUGCUAAGUAAUC